rnacentral:misc_RNA from 1 species
GGAAGGAUUGACAAAUGAUAUCCCACUCAAAGCAGUCCGUGUUUUCCCAUUAAUCUUCACCGGUGGCUUAUUCUUCAACACAUAAAUUUCAGUUACAUUGAUUGAUCCAUAUCUAAAUGAACCUUGAGGGUUAGGACGUGCACCGCUAGCAGAAACAUUCCAUCUGAUAGAUCUUGCCUGGUUCAUUGAAAAGGUUUUGUCAAACUCAUCGUUUGGUCCAUCUGGGAGGGGACCCUUUGCCUUUCCUUUGGAAUUUGUAUAGUGCAA